GACGAACGCUGGCGGCGUGCCUAACACAUGCAAGUCGAGCGAAUGAAGUUCCUUCGGGAACGGAUUUAGCGGCGGACGGGUGAGUAACACGUGGGCAACCUGCCUCAUAGAGGGGAAUAGCCUUCCGAAAGGGAGAUUAAUACCGCAUAAGAUUGUAAUACCGCAUGGUACAGCAAUUAAAGGAGCAAUCCGCUAUGAGAUGGGCCCGCGGCGCAUUAGCUAGUUGGUGAGGUAACGGCUCACCAAGGCGACGAUGCGUAGCCGACCUGAGAGGGUGAUCGGCCACAUUGGGACUGAGACACGGCCCAGACUCCUACGGGAGGCAGCAGUGGGGAAUAUUGCACAAUGGGGGAAACCCUGAUGCAGCAACGCCGCGUGAGUAAUGACGGCCUUCGGGUUGUAAAGCUCUGUCUUCAGGGACGAUAAUGACGGUACCUGAGGAGGAAGCCACGGCUAACUACGUGCCAGCAGCCGCAGUAAAAC
rnacentral:rRNA from 1 species